rnacentral:rRNA from 1 species
UACGUAGGGUGCAAGCGUUGUCCGGAAUUAUUGGGCGUAAAGAGCUCGUAGGCGGUUUGUUGCGUCGGCUGUGAAAUCCCGAGGCUCAACCUCGGGUCUGCAGUCGAUACGAGCAAACUAGAGUGUUGCAGGGGAGACUGGAAUUCCUGGUGUAGCGGUGAAAUGCGCAGAUAUUAGGAGGAACACCGGUGGCGAAGGCGCCACUCUGGGCCGAAACUGACGCUGAGGAGCGAAAGCGUGGGUAGCAAACAGG